GGGCAGGCGUUGACAAUUUCUCUCCGACGUUAGAAGAAACGAAUCAGACAGGACUAAACGAAACUUAACUACAUCGUGUUUGUUGCCAGAUUUCACGUUUUCACCUCAGCAGAUGCACAGGAUAAUGACGUCUGAAGAAGAGCCUGUGGGGAGGAAAAACACUAUGACGUUCCACUGACACUGAAUGUCAGCGCAACCACACGUACACCUACUACUACCCGCCACCGACAAAGUUUAUACUGUGGUGGAGGAAAAUAACACCACUGUCUCCUGCCCGGCCGCAGCUCGUUGGAUGUCGUCAGACGUGACCGAACUCAUCAGCACAGUUGCGUAAAUGAUUGUCUGUGUCUUCUCAGAUCUCUGGGUUAUAUAAAGAAAUGUGCCCUGUGUUAGCUACGCUGUCUUCACGUUGUUUGGGACAGUGGUGACUGCUGCAAGGCCCUUUUUAAUGAGAGGAAACUUGUAAUUUAAGGUAAUGUUGUAGUUUUUUUUCUCUUACGGCAGAACUGUACUGCCGCACACUGGUCUUAGACAAUUUUAAGAUUCAUGCAGAAAAAGAAAUCUGAGUUAGUGCAAUCAUUUCAUAAGUGCAUAAAUCAACUCCAGAUGGCGCCUGAACACUUGCCCUUUUGACCCUGCUGAUUUGAUCUGCUUUUGGAAGAACAAUUUUAUUUGUUUAUUAUCAUUGGAUUUCCGUGUCCCAACCUCUUGAUCUCAGACUUUUCAUUUCAUUUCCUGACAUCAACACAUUUUCGGGAAAUGUAAAAAAAACAAAACACUUUACACGCAGUUAUAGGGCCACCUUCUGGCACCUUGUUCAAGAAAUCUUGUACUUGUUUUUCUACUUCACUAGUUUAAAAGUGUGAAAUCCACUGGGACAAAAGUGUUUUUUGUGUGAAUUUGGGCUAAACAAAUAAAACUGACUUUAGAUACUUCUCGGUCGGCUGUCUGUCCUGGGAGGUGUGUUGACAUUUUAUUUACCAACAUGUCAUGACACUUUGACGGAAAUUAACACAGGGAAAUGAAGUGCAUUGUGGAAGAGUUCUA